rnacentral:lncRNA from 1 species
CCCCUCUCCCUCUCCCUCUCCCCGUCUCCCUCUCCCUCUCCCUCUCCCCGUCUCCCUCUCCCUCUCAUGCCGAGCCAAAGCUGGACGGUACUGCUGCCAUCUCGGCUCACUGCAACCUCCCUGCCUGAUUCUCCUGCCUCAGCCUGCCGAGUGCCUGCGAUUGCAGGCGCGCGCCGCCACGCCUGACUGGUUUUCGUUUUUUUUUUGGUGGAGAUGGGGUUUCGCUGUGUUGGCCGGGCUGGUCUCCAGCUCCUAACCGCGAGUGAUCCGCCAGCCUCGGCCUCCCGAGGUGCCGGGAUUGCAGAUGGAGUCUCGUUCACUCAGUGCUCAAUGGUGCCCAGGCUGGAGUGCAGUGGCGUGAUCUCGGCUUGCUACAACCACCUCCCAGCCGCCUGCCUUGGCCUCCCAAAGAGCCGAGAUUGCAGCCUCUGCCCGGCCGCCACGCCGUCUGGGAAGUGAGGAGCGUCUCUGCUUGGCCACCCAUCGUCUGGGAUAUGAGGAGCCCCUCUGCCUGGCUGCCCAGUGUGGAAAGUGAGGAGCGUCUCUGCCCGGCCGCCAUCCCAUCUAGGAAGCGAGAAGCGCCUCUUCCCCGCCGCCAUCCCAUCUAGGAAGUGAGGAGCGUCUCUGCCCGGCCGCCCAUCGUCUGAGAUGUGGGGAGCACCUCUGCCCCACCGCCCUGUCUGGGAUGUGAGGAGCGCCUCUGCUGGGCCGCAACCCUGUCUGGGAGGUGAGGAGUGUCUCUGCCCGGCCGCUCCGUCUGAGAAGUGAGGAAACCCUCUGCCUGGCAACCGCCCCGUCUGAGAAGUGAGGAGCCCCUCCGUCUGGCAACCACCCCGUCUGGGAAGUGAGGAGCGUCUCCGCCCGGCAGCCACCCCGUCCGGGAGGGAGGUGGGGGGGGUCAGCCCCCCGCCCGGCCAGCCGCCCCGUCCGGGAGGUGAGGGGCUCCUCUGCCCGGCCGCCCCUACUGGGAAGUGAGGAGCCCCUCUGCCCGGCCAGCCGCCCCGUCCGGGAGGGAGGCGGGGGGGGGUGGUCGGCCAUCCGCCCCGUCCGGGAGGUGAGGGGCUCCUCUGCCCGGCCGCCCCUACUGGGAAGUGAGGAGCCCCUCUGCCCGGCCAGUCGCCCCGUCCAGGAGGGAGGUGGGGGGGUCAACCCCCCGCCCGGCCAGCCGCCCAGUCCGGGAGGGAGGUGGGGGGUCAGCCCCCCGCCUGGCCAGCCGCCCCGUCCGGGAGGUGAGGGGCGCCUCUGCCCGGCCGCCCCUACUGGGAAGUGAGGAGCCCCUCUGCCCGGCCAGUCGCCCCGUCCAGGAGGGAGGUGGGGGUUCAACCCCCCGCCCGGCCAGCCGCCCAGUCCGGGAGGGAGGUGGGGGGUCAGCCCCCCGCCUGGCCAGCCGCCCCGUCCAGGAGGUGAGGGGCGCCUCUGCCCGGCCGCCCCUACUGGGAAGUGAGGAGCCCCUCUGCCCGGCCAGCCGCCCCGCCCAGGAGGGAGGUGGGGGGGUCAGCCCCCCGCCCGGCCAGCCGCCCCGUCCGGGAGGGGGGAGGGGGGGUCAGCCCCCUGCCCGGCCAGCCGCCCCGUCCGGGAGGGAGGUGGGGGGGGUCAGCCCCCCGCCCGGCCAGCCGCCCCGUCCGGGAGGGAGGUGGGGGGAUCAGCCCCCUGCCUGGCCAGCCGCCCCGUCCGGGAGGUGAGGGGCGCCUCUGCCCGGCCGCCCCUACUGGGAAGUGAGGAGCCCCUCUGCCCGGCCAGCCGCCCCGUCCGGGAGGGAGGUGGGGGGGUCAGCCCCCCUUCCGGCCGGCUGCCCCGUCCGGGAGGUGAGGGGCGCCUCUGCCGGGCCGCCCCUACUGGGAAGUGAGGACCCCUCUGCCCGGCCAGCCGCCCCAUCCGGGAGGGAGGUGGGGGGAACAGCCCCCCGCCCGGCCAGCCGCCCUAUCCAGGAGGUGAGGGGCGCCUCUGCCCGGCCGCCCCUACUGGGAAGUGAGGAGCCCCUCUGCCUGGCCAGCCGCCCCGUCCGGGAGGGCGGUGGGGGGGUCAGCCCCCCGCCCGGCCAGCCGCCCCAUCUGGGAGGUGAGGGGCGCUUCUGCCGGGCCGCCCCUACUGGGAAGUGAGGAGCCCCUCUGCCCGGCCACGACCCCGUCUGGGAGGUGUGCCCAGCGGCUCAUUGGGGAUGGGCCAUGAUGACAAUGGCGGUUUUGUGGAAUAGAAAGGCGGGAAGGGUGGGGAAAAAAUUGAGAAAUCGGAUGGUUGCCGGGUCUGUGUGGAUAGAAGUAGACAUGGGAGACUUUUCAUUUUGUUCUGUACUAAGAAAAAUUCUUCUGCCUUGGGAUCCUGUUGAUCUGUGACCUUAUCCCCAACCCUGUGCUCUCUGAAACAUGUGCUGUGUCCACUCAGGGUUAAAUGGAUUAAGGGCGGUGCAAGAUGUGCUUUGUUAAACAGAUGCUUGAAGGCAGCAUGCUCGUUAAGAGUCAUCACCACUCCCUAAUCUUAAGUACCCAGGGACACAAACACUGCGGAAGGCCGCAGGGUCCUCUGCCUAGGAAAACCAGAGACCUUUGUUCACUUGUUUAUCUGCUGACCUUCCCUCCACUAUUGUCCUGUGACCCUGC